AUACGUAGGUGGCAAGCGUUAUCCGGAUUUAUUGGGUUUAAAGGGAGCGUAGGCGGGAGCUUAAGUCAGCGGUUAAAUGGUGCGGCUCAACCGUGCCCUGCCGUUGAAACUGGGUUUCUUGAGAGUGCAAGAGGCGGAUGGGAUUCAUGGUGUAGCGGGGAAAUGCUUAGAUAUCAUGAAGAACUCCGAUUGCGAAGGCAGUCCGCUGGGGCACGUCUGACGCUGAUGCUCGAAGGUGCGGGAAUCAAACAGGAUUAGAUACCCUGGUAGUCCGCACGGUAAACGAUGAUUACCCGCUGUCGGCGGCAGACAGUCGGCGGCCAAGCGAAAGCGAUAAGUAAUCCACCUGGGGAGUACGCCGGCAACGGUGAAACUCAAAGGAAUUGACGGGG
rnacentral:rRNA from 1 species